rnacentral:rRNA from 1 species
UGGGGAAUAUUGGACAAUGGGGGCAACCCUGAUCCAGCAAUGCCGCGUGUGUGAAGAAGGUCUUCGGAUUGUAAAGCACUUUCGACGGGGACGAUGAUGACGGUACCCGUAGAAGAAGCCCCGGCUAACUUCGUGCCAGCAGCCGCGGUAAUACGAAGGGGGCUAGCGUUGCUCGGAAUGACUGGGCGUAAAGGGCGUGUAGGCGGUUUACACAGUCAGAUGUGAAAUCCCCGGGCUUAACCUGGGAGCUGCAUUUGAUACGUGUAGACUAGAGUGUGAGAGAGGGUUGUGGAAUUCCCAGUGUAGAGGUGAAAUUCGUAGAUAUUGGGAAGAACACCGGUGGCGAAGGCGGCAACCUGGCUCAUGACUGACGCUGAGGCGCGAAAGCGUGGGGAGCAAACAGGAUUAGAUACCCUGGUAGUCCACGCUGUAAAACGAUGUGUGCUAGAUGUUGGGUAA